rnacentral:rRNA from 1 species
CCUACGGGAGGCAGCAGUGAGGAAUAUUGGUCAAUGGGCGGAAGCCUGAACCAGCCACGUAGCGUGCAGGAUGACGGCCCUACGGGUUGUAAACUGCUUUUAUACGGGAAUAACGCGCCUUACGUGUUGGGCUUUGCAUGUACCGUAUGAAUAAGGACCGGCUAAUUCCGUGCCAGCAGCCGCGGUAAUACGGAAGGUCCGGGCGUUAUCCGGAUUUAUUGGGGUUAAAGGGAGCGUAGGCCGCAUGUCAAGCGUGCUGUGAAAUGUCCGGGCUCAACCCGGGCCUUGCAGCGCGAACUGGCGAGCUUGAGUCCGCGGAAAGCAGGCGGAAUUCGAGGUGUAGCGGUGAAAUGCGUAGAUAUGACGAAGAACCCCGAUUGCGAAGGCAGCUUGCUGCAGCGGAACUGACGCUGAUGCGCGAAAGCGCGGGUAUCGAACAGGAUUAGAUACCCGGGUAGUC